GAUGAACGCUGGCGGCGCGCCUAAUACAUGCAAGUCGAGCGAACAGAUAAGGAGCUUGCUCCUUUGACGUUAGCGGCGGACGGGUGAGUAACACGUGGGUAACCUACCUAUAAGACUGGGAUAACUUCGGGAAACCGGAGCUAAUACCGGAUAAUAUUUCGAACCGCAUGGUUCGAUAGUGAAAGAUGGUUUUGCUAUCACUUAUAGAUGGACCCGCGCCGUAUUAGCUAGUUGGUAAGGUAACGGCUUACCAAGGCGACGAUACGUAGCCGACCUGAGAGGGUGAUCGGCCACACUGGAACUGAGACACGGUCCAGACUCCUACGGGAGGCAGCAGUAGGGAAUCUUCCGCAAUGGGCGAAAGCCUGACGGAGCAACGCCGCGUGAGUGAUGAAGGUCUUCGGAUCGUAAAACUCUGUUAUUAGGGAAGACCAUACGUGUAAGUAACUGUGCACGUCUUGACGGUACCUAAUCAGAAAGCCACGGCUAACUACGUG
rnacentral:rRNA from 1 species